GACGAACGCUGGCGGCGUGCUUAACACAUGCAAGUCGAACGGUGAAGGGGCCUGCUUUUGUGGGCCCUGGAUGAGUGGCGAACGGGUGAGUAACACGUGAGUAACCUGCCCCCUUCUUCUGGAUAACCGCAUGAAAGUGUGGCUAAUACGGGAUAUUCUGGGUCUGUCGCAUGAUGGGUCUGGGAAAGAUUGCGCCUUUGGGUGUUUUUGGUGGGGGAUGGGCUCGCGGCCUAUCAGCUUGUUGGUGGGGUGAUGGCCUACCAAGGCGGUGACGGGUAGCCGGCCUGAGAGGGUGGACGGUCACACUGGGACUGAGACACGGCCCAGACUCCUACGGGAGGCAGCAGUGGGGAAUAUUGCACAAUGGGCGCAAGCCUGAUGCAGCGACGCCGCGUGAGGGAGGGAGGCCUUCGGGUUGUAAACCUCUUUCGCCAGUGAAGCAGGCCUGCUCCUUGUGGGUGGGUUGACGGUAGCUGGGUAAGAAGCGCCGGCUAACUACGUG
rnacentral:rRNA from 1 species